AGUGUUGAAUUUUCUAUAAAAGGGUGUAGGUAUUGCACUAAAACUUACACAACUUCAAGGAUAAGAUUUGGAACAGUUACUCGCAUACAUUGCUGAAACAUGAAGUGUGUUGUUUUAUUGCUUGUUGCAGUAUUGUUCGUCAUUUCUGCUUUUGCUGCACCAAAUCCUGGAGUUCACAAAGUCAGUAAGUAUGAGUAGUUUCAUGAUAAAAAUAUAAAUAUAUAAACUUUAUUUAUUUUAAUUCCUUAUUGAAACUUACUGUAUGCAUUAGUGCUACUUAAAAAGUUGAU